GCCCACCGGGGCUCAGCUCCUCCACGGCCACACGGCACCGCAGUUCUCCGUCCUCGCAUUCUGCGGCCGCUGCCUGGGUGCCCGAAAGCAUCGCCGCCGCCUCUGCAGUCUGCAAAAAGACCGGAGCACAGGCGUCACAGGGACUCAGGGGACAUCAUAGGUGGUACAGAAGUCUGGACAGGGAGCCCAGUCAAAGCCACAAAGGGUUCCAGGGCUGUCACUGGUAACACAAAGAGGUCAUGGAGACUGUAAAAGCACCCUGGGGGCAAACAGGAAAUUCUCCUAGACAUUUCUCUCCCACACAAUAAUUUGCAGAGCUGAGGAUGGGCAACGUCAAGCGCACCAAGGAUUGGGAACCUCUGCUGUCCGACAAGAGCCACAGAAGAAGGGAGCCCCUGAACAGAAAAGAAGCUUGCUUCUAAGAGACCCAGGGCGGGCACGGGAAUCUUGAGUCCUCUCCGCAAGGAAGCAGGAGACUCACUUGUGGAGGUAAGCAGGACUGACAUGUUAUCAGCGCCUUCCCUCUCCCAGCUACGUUCACUGGUUUAUAUGCAGCCAAGCUAGUGUCACUAUUUCCCAUGUACAGAAGUGGAAAACAGGCUGAAAGAGACUACAACGGCUGGUAGGAGUCAGGGAUCGUGUGAUUCGGAAGCUCUGGUGCUUCUCAUCUCUAAGGUGGGGUGGAAGUGAAAUUAUUUGGCUUCGGAAAUAGCGGAGGGACCCUGGCUUCUGGGAACCAGUCCACGCGCCGUCUGAUUCAUUCGUAUGCACCCUCCCGGCAGAGACCCCUUGAAGAAGAACAUUCUGCCUCCCACGUCUGGGAUCAGGUGGACACUCACUUGUGCCAGCACUCGGACGAACCAGUUGAGAGAAGUCGGCCUGCAGGCAAAAGUAGCACACUGGAAACUUUCAAAUUCUGGGAGUAGAGAAUCAUCCUAUCACCUGCAGGAUCUUUAAAUUUUCUAGCCAAUCAGAGAAAGCGGACGUGACAAGGGGCGUGUCUUUCUGUGCCUUUCUACCCUCAGAGCUUGGGCUGUACCAAUAGCACGCCAGAGGAAGGAGGCUUAUUGUGGUGGCGGAGCAUACCAAGUCGCGCGGAAGAGUGGAUGUGGUGGGAGGGGACGGAGACUGCAGCUGGGCCGCGCGUGGAUUAGUGUCACCAAUCUCGUCUCUGAAGAUUUAUUUUCAAGACCUUGCCUCCAGCACAGACUUCCUCCCCUCUAGCCCUCACACAGCGGCUGAACUUGGCCCUGGGUUAACAGUGAGUCCUUGGACAGAGGAAAGCUGGACACCGCUUGGCGACGGAUUAACGGUCCUCAGGCUCCGCCCUCCUCCCCGCCCCAGCGCCACGGGUCUUCAGCUGGAUCUUGAUUGGCUGAUGAAGGAGGGAGGCGGAGGCAGAGGAAUUGCUCACAUCUGUGACCCGACUUCCUCCCUAUGGCUUUGUGCAGCUUUUGCAUCCGCAGGUCUUCUGCUCACUGCUGCCGCCGCGGGGUCAGUUCCAAGAGAAGCGCAACAUUGCUCCCUGGUCUCCUCGCCUAACCCAAAGCCUGGUUUUAACGCAAGCUGUCUGGAGGGAUGGAUUUUCUUCAUUAUGACAUUUCCUUCUCCAGAACUCUCUCUGUUCAUCUUAUCUGCUUUCUCCCACUUGGCGGUCUCAGUCCAGGCUCCGACUCACAAAUAAUGACGACAUCAACACAGAACGGGAUAGUUUACUAAUUGCACUGUUAGGCGUUUUCUCUUUUGGUAUAUAGAAGAGCCAGCCCUUCCCCUUUAUGAUCCUUUCUCGCCGUGCUCUCUCCACCUUUACAGUCCUAGGCUUACGCAGUCUUGCAGAGGAGCUUGAAAGGGUGUUUCGUGGUCUUCCAGCUUACGGAGCACGAAUUCAGCUCGCACUGCUGCUGCUUUGGGAAAGCUGACACUCAUUUUAUUGACCCUCCGGUACAGGUGAUUCUGAUUCUCCCUUAUUAAAAUACUCUCAAGUUCUACAACACACAUUCCCUCAUUUUUCCUACAUACUGGCGGCUUCAUGUCAUUCUCCUUUGCUGAUCCCUUUUCCUCAGCCAGCCCUCUCAAUGUAGGAGAACUUUUUU